CCCAGACAGGAGGACCUUGAGUUACUGCGGACUGCACAGAGUCAGUUGUCUGGCUGUAGCUACUGCAGUUCUAAUGGGGGGCUUGGCCCCGGUCCAAAAAACCUUUCGUAUUAGCUCAUUGUUAAGAUUCUAGCUCUUUACCAAGUCGCAGAGAGUGUAACAGUCUGUUAAACACAGCCUUGGAGAGACACAAGGCUGCUUUUAUUUUAAGUCAUCCUAAAUGCUGUCGCUCAGCACGACUUCAUUGCAGUAAUUUUUUAACUUCAGCGAGCGCUCUGCUACUGUAGCUGGCGAGUUCACCAGCAAUAGAGACUAGUGGAACGGGACGAUCUCGGUUCCAAACUGCUCCGACGACGAGACACCGCAGUAAAAAAAAAAAAAAAAAAAAAGCUCCGUUUGCCGAGGAUCAUGGUACGGGCUUAACGGCUGGAUUGUAAUCAACAGUCAAUGGAGGUGUCCCUGAGAGACGACUGCAGGAUCACUCAGGCAGCCAGAUCAAAUGGGAACUGUCGUGGAGCUCCCAGUUCCUUCACUUUGGCCUGGGAGACGCACGCUCUCACUGCAAAGAUCAAAUGGAAAAGAUGAAGUCGACAUACUUUAAUUUCUGUAAUCGAGUAUAUCCUUUUGUUUGGGGGGGGGGAAGGAUUAGGGUUAGAUAAGAUCAUGACUGGGGAAGUUUUCCUGUCUGUGUGAUGAUCAUUAUUAUUAACAUGUUAGAAUACAUAUGGGACUCUAAGCCUUGUUGAUAUGUUUGUUAUCCGGGGGAGGGGAGGAAAAGCCAGAUGUGACACACAGCAACUCUGUAGAGAUGGACCCAACGCUCUGCAGAGACGGACCCACCGCUCUGCAGAGACGGACCCGCCGCUCUGUAGACGGACCCGCCGCUCUGCAGAGACGGACCCGCCGCUCUGCAGACGGACCCGCCGCUCUGCAGACGGACCCGCCGCUCUGUGCUGACGACCUCCGCAGAUGUUGCCUCGGGAGGGGGGGCUAAGCAACUUGCAGCAGCAUGUCUUCCACUUCUCCACAAAACACACUCUAACAACUCAACCAUCCUUCUCGCUCUCUCUUUACUGUACGUUAACUCCUAGUUCUGGCUGUGCAGCCUCGUACGGAACAGUGCCGUUCUCGCGUUACAGUCUCGAGUGGUUUACUCGCAGGUGCAAUCAUGCAGAAAAAAAAUCCAGUCCAGUAUUCCUGACGUCCCCAUCAGUCGUAUUUUGUUUUUCCAGAGGUACUCAGCCUCUUGAAAUAUUCAUUUAUUUAGGCCGCCGUCAUCAGUGACAUGGUCUACGUAUAUUUCACACUACAGUAUUUACUGAGGCUCAGAGUCCCUGUUUUCUCCAAUUUAGAAACUAAAUGCUUGGUAGUUUAUGCUUUAUUUUCAUGUGCUUGUCUCUUUUACCAAUUUAUUUCCCCCCCCCCCGAGUAGCUAUGCUUUGUUAGGGUCAAGCGUUUGCGUUGCCCGUAAUUACAACCAUAUGUAGUACAUGUACGCUGUGAUGUAUAGAAGUAACUGUAGAAAUGCAUUGUUUCCUUGUGGUAAGUGAUCGAGAUGCUGCCACGGAUUUGAGACACUGAUGAAUGGUGCUAUUUUGGACUUUAAUCUCCUCCUUGGUAAGGUAGCUGAGAUGGGUUUUUAUUCUAUAUUUUCACAUUCUAAGAAGGUGUGGGUUAUGUUGUCGUCUGGUUGUUGUAACUUGGCCUGGAUUGACUUUUUUUUUUUGUGGUUUUCUGUGCGGCUUUCUCAUUGGAUUUGUAGAAAGGUAAAUUGAAGAGGAGAGGGAGAAAAAAACAAACGAUCAUGGUGGAUAUUUGAAAUAAAGGAAAGGGUGACGUGAUUAUCCGAAUACGUCAUGUUGAGGGGAGCAAUCACAAAACUGCAAUCUUUGAACACUAGUUUCCCUUUAACUCGUCGUGUAGAAAGGGAAGAUAUAGCGCCCAGCACAUGUCACUUUUAGAAAAUGCUGUUUGCUUUUGUUUGUGCAUUUGAUAGACAAUCUCAAACCAAGAGUGCAUUCCCUUUCUCAAUAGACAGUAUAUAUAUGCAAAGUAAUGCACACUAAUGACAAAGCAAUGGCAUGAUCAAAGGAUGUCGUUAAGACUCCACAGCACUGUCAUUUGCAGGGUUUGCUUCAAGUUGCUUGGAAUAAGUUCAGCCAAGAAGUGUUCUUGUGAACUGGCCAGAUAGCCCAGAGGCCAUCGAAGUGAGUAAGUCCCAGCCUUGGUGGUUUGGGGUCUUUCACCAGCUCGUUAUAGUAUAGUCAUGAAAGAGAAAUUGAUGCGAGACUGACAAGUAUAAUCUUGUUUGAAAAAAAAAAUUAAAGAAGCAUUUUCCAAACAAGGCAAACAUGUAGCAUCACAUGACACACGGAAGAACAAUCUUUUUCAUUGAUGUCUUUUCUGAAUGAUUUUGUAAAUUAAUUGAGACGCUUUCUUUGUUACAAAACACAAACUAAACCAAAAAGCUUUUUAUUUCAUAUUUUUUUUGGCUCUAGUGGUUUUCAAACAUUGAAGAGAUGUCAGUAUUUCCAGUUUUGUCCUUGCUUCCUGUUAAUUCAUAAUUGUUCAGAUUCUAAUAUAACCAACUUGAAAGCCCACGUUAGUUAGUCUUCCAUGUCACCCCUCAAUAUUGGGGUAUUACUGUAUCAGUUUGAUCUAGUCUAACUAAUUGCAUGCUCUAUUGUUGAUUUUAUAAAUAAUUCCAUUUCCUUCUGUUUUUCAUCCCAUUGACUUGGUAUGUUAUGUAUAUGGAAAAAAUGAAUAGCUUAGGCCAGAUCUGUUGUAGUGUGUUGAUGUAUUCUGUAUUUACCAGUGUGUAUGGUUAGGUGAAAAACCAUGAAGCUCGCUUUUCGACAUUAAUAAUGAAGCACUUAUAGUAUCCCAUGUACUUUUUUGGCACUUUUAGCAGUAACUCAAUAAACACGCAAGCUCUUUGAA